rnacentral:rRNA from 1 species
UACGUAGGGGGCUAGCGUUGUCCGGAUUUAUUGGGCGUAAAGAGCGUGUAGGCGGCCAAGUAGGUCCGGUGUGAAAACUCGAGGCUUAACCUCGAGAUGUCAUCGGAAACCAUUUGGCUAGAGUCCGGAAGAGGAAAGUGGAAUUCCUGGUGUAGCGGUGAAAUGCGCAGAUAUCAGGAAGAACACCAGUGGCGAAAGGCAGGUCUUCUGG